UGCACAGGAUUGAUCUCACCUCCCUGCUGCAGCGAGCGUCCGGGAAAACAGAUGGGCACCCAGACUCCCUCCCCGCUCUCCUCCACAGCCCGCUCCCAGGGCCUCAGGACAGGCGUGGUCAGCGCCUCUGAGGAACACGGAGUCUCAGCCCUCGCUCAGACCUGCCGGAGCAGAGCCUGCCUUUCACCAGGUCUCCGGGGCGUUAAAAUGCACAGUCACGUUUGAGAAGCCUUAUCAAGGGUGCCGGAAAGCUAAGGAAGCUCUGCGGACUCCUGCACACGCCUCAAACACGCACCCAGCGUGCACCGGAACCGGGCCAACAAGCAUCUGGAAGCUGUAUCGCUGAAGAGAAGACGUCCGCUUGCUCUCAGCACCACGCGGCGCUGCACGGGAUCGCUCGCAGAAACCCGGCUAUUCAGGAAGGACUGUGAUCGAGCCCAAGCCCAGGUUAAGCGGCAGGGACAGCGAGCACGGACCACACUUCCCAGCCUUCCUGAAUCCAGAUUAGGGACCUACAAGCAGCAGGACUAACAUUCAAAGGCCUUCCUACAUGUCUACAUGCCUGGAUUUAUUCCUUCGAAUUCAUCUACAAAACCCAGUGGUUUCAUAGUGCGUGUGCCAUCGACUCCACUCCUGCUCCCACAGAGGCAACCACUGUCGAGCUUUACCCUUUAGCUUUCGGGUGGUUCCCCCAUAUCUCAGAAAUAACAUGCCUAUGUUGUCAUUUUCCUUUCUAGAGUUGUUCGCAUUUCAUUUAAGUUUAGAGGCCAAACUAUAUCUCUUCAAAGCCAGAAAGAGAAAGAGCAGCCCCGUUCUCUGCACAGCCUAGGAGCGCGAGCUCCUUGCCAUUCCCCAGAGCAGCAUGCUCGACUGGGCCAACCAAUCCUUCUGGUCUUUAUCGCCACACUUCCACCUGCUAUGUCGUGCUUUUUCAAGGUUCUACAUUUUAUCUAUGGAAGGGAGAUACGGAUUUAGUCUCUCAUAUGCUCCUCUUAUUCUCCCCAUAUAGUUCUAUCACGUUUUUCUCUGAUCACUAUUCAGUGUUUGCAUAAUUAAGUAAAUAUCAUUUAAGGCUGAGGCUUGUAAUGUACUGUGAUUACAUUGAGUUUCUUGGCACAUAAUUGCUUUCCCUGGCAUUGAUAAUUUUCUUAUUUUAUUUGUAUGCUCACUUUGCUAUUGACCUGUCAAAAAUCAAUUACCCAUUCUUUUCCAGAAAUGUAAAUCUCUCAGUACACCCUGCCAUGCCCAAGGUCACACAGCCAGGGAGAGGGAUGUAUUAGUCUGCUAGGGCUGCCAUAGCAAAAUACCCCGACUGGGCGACUUAAACAACAGACACUUAUUUUCUUUUCUCACAAUUCUGCGUGCUGGACGUCCAGGACCAGGCUGCCAGCCAUUUGUUUUCUAGUGGGGCCUCUCUCCUCGGCUUGCAGAUGGCCACCUUCUGGCUGUGACCUCACGUGGCCUUUUCUCUGUGGACGCACGCCGCUGGUGUUUCUUCCUUUUCUUAAAAGGACACCCAUCCCAGCGGAUCACUGCUCUACCCUGCGGGCCUCAUGUUAACUUCGUCACCUCUUUAAAGGCCUCAGUCCCAAAUCAAGGCUAAAGGGGAUAAAAGCCUGGCUGUCUUGGCCUGACGUGGGACAAUUCUGAAGAGCCAUCCAGCUCCAGUGUUCCCUGUGGACUUGGCCGAAAAGGUCCCCGGGCCUUGAGUCACAGUCCCACUUCUUCCUUCUACGGGUGCUGGUCCCAAGGGCAUGCCCCGUAAACAUUCUGAGCUCAACUCUGUCUCAGGGUCAGCAAUAUCUUUGGAAUGCUUCACACUUGAAGUGUUGAGAAGGUUCCGGAAUUGCUCUCUAGUGCUGCAAUGUUGACAUGGCAGCAUCAAGGUGAGGGUGCUGGGGGAAGAAGACCUUUCUGGUGGCCUUAAAGCACACACACCAGCAGCAGAGGCUGGCCUCCCCACCUCGCCCCGGGCCUGCCCACAGCGGGAGCCUGGCAGGGCGUUGCUGAGCUGCCCUUAUCCCUGAGUGGGCUCUGGAGUUGCUCCCUCGUAAUUCAUAGCCAGUGGCUCUCGGCAGGCAGCCUGCUGGUUCCAGACGCUGCCACUCACAUCACCGACCAGUGAGCCAUGGUCUCGGUGCCCACAGUCACGCCGACGUGUGAGUAAAACAUUUCCAUUUGGACAAAAGAGAAGGGCAUCUGUUUCCCUGAAAAAAGUUACAACGCUCAGAGAAGUGCACAUACACGUUGGUACAGUUUUCGAAAAUAGAAAAUCCACUGGCUGUGUAUGGGGGAGUUUUGAAAACAUAAUCUAAUAAUAAAAGAUCGGC